rnacentral:rRNA from 1 species
UAGGGAAUCUUCCGCAAUGGACGCAAGUCUGACGGAGCAACGCCGCGUGAGUGAAGAAGGAUUUCGGUUCGUAAAACCCUGUUGUUAGAGAAGAACAGCGCAUAGAGUAACUGUUAUGCGUGUGACGGUAUCUAACCAGAAAGCCACGGCUAACUACGUGCCAGCAGCCGCGGUAAUACGUAGGUGGCAAGCGUUGUCCGGAUUUAUUGGGCGUAAAGCGAGCGCAGGCGGUCAAUUAAGUCUGAUGUGAAAGCCCCCGGCUCAACCGGGGAGGGUCAUUGGAAACUGGUUGACUUGAGUGCAGAAGAGGAGAGUGGAAUUCCAUGUGUAGCGGUGAAAUGCGUAGAUAUAUGGAGGAACACCAGUGGCGAAGGCGACUCUCUGGUCUGUAACUGACGCUGAGGCUCGAAAGCGUGGGGAGCGAACAGG